AAGACUAUAGACCUGCGGAGUACCUGCGGAAGGAUCAUUACAUGGCGGAGAAGGUGGGCAGCCUGGCCAACAUCCAGGUUGUGAUGCCUUCACGCUCUUCCACCCUUGUCUAUUUGCACCUUCUGUCGUUCCCUCGGCGGGUUUCGACCCGCCGGCGGCAACAUUGAAAAACCCUUUUUGCAGUUAGCAUUCAAUUCUUCUGAUCAAAUAUUAAAUCAUUACAACUUUCAACAAUGGAUC
rnacentral:misc_RNA from 1 species